rnacentral:rRNA from 1 species
AUUGAACGCUGGCGGCAGGCUUAACACAUGCAAGUCGAGCGGAGAUGAGGUGCUUGCACCUUAUCUUAGCGGCGGACGGGUGAGUAAUGCUUAGGAAUCUGCCUAUUAGUGGGGGACAACAUUCCGAAAGGAAUGCUAAUACCGCAUACGUCCUACGGGAGAAAGCAGGGGAUCUUCGGACCUUGCGCUAAUAGAUGAGCCUAAGUCGGAUUAGCUAGUUGGUGGGGUAAAGGCCUACCAAGGCGACGAUCUGUAGCGGGUCUGAGAGGAUGAUCCGCCACACUGGGACGGAGAUACGGCCCAGACUCCUACGGGAGGCAGCAGUGGGGAAUAUUGGACAAUGGGGGGAACCCUGAUCCAGCCAUGCCGCGUGUGUGAAGAAGGCCUUAUGGUUGUAAAGCACUUUAAGCGAGGAGGAGGCUACUGAGACUAAUACUCUUGGAUAGUGGACGUUACUCGCAGAAUAAGCACCGGCUAACUCUGUGCCAGCCGCCGCGGAAA